rnacentral:misc_RNA from 1 species
GGAAAUGUUGACAGAAUGCCGAUCCCUUUCACGUCUUCCACCUCUGUCUGGAGUCAGCCAAUUUCUGUGACCAGGUUCCCACAAAGAACUGGACCCACUACCAUAGUUCGCACUAGGAUAAAGACUGUGUUGGGAGUACUUCCUGGAUAAGGAGCCCGGAGUAAAUCCAAGACCUUGAUGUGAAGCCUGCAUGGCAUUUUGCUCAUACGAUCCAAGUAUACCAACUGGUGGUGGAUAUAGUCUCGCAGAUGUCAUUUGAGAGAUGUAUCUUCCAGAGUCCACGGGGUUUGCUAGAUUAGGUAAAGAUUGACCAGAUCCAACUUCACCUUGGUAAUUGUAGAAACCCAUGUUGCUGCUUCCUGAAAGCUCACCUCCACCAAACGGCCCAACAGGUAUGUAGUAACCUGAUCCUGGCCCAAAAUGUGUGCCAUC